GCUCUCCCCCUUUCGUGAGCUAGACACCUUCGACGAGCAUCCCUUGCAAAGGUAUUCCGCUCUUUCACUCGUUGCUUGAUUUGCUCCAAGGAUGACAGAUUCAAAGGCAAUGACAUGGUAGCAAUUAAAGAAAGAGACUCCUUGCCAUAGAAGGAGAAGUGGAAAUCCUUUUGCUCUUUGGUUCCUUUUUUAUAGGCACUAGCAACUGCAUCGAUCGCCAAUUGGCACUUUCUAGAAAUUAAUGCCCAA
rnacentral:lncRNA from 1 species